AUUUUAGCUGAUUUUGGCCAGUUUUAUAUCCAUCCCUGGGAGAAAGCACGUUAGGAGGCCUUGGUUGGCUGAAAAAAGUCAAAAAACAGAAACCUACCGGUAGCGAGAAUUUUCAGUGGAGCAGCUCCGCCGACUCACCUUCGUGGCUGGGUGUUUUUUUUUUAUUAACCUAUAGAAAAUAGAACGGUGAACACAACGGUUGAAAAAUUACAUGAAACAGAAAACGAGAAGGAGCUCAUUGGAGGAGGUUGUGUGUUUUGCCCGCGGCAGUGCCACUGGGCUUUGUGUACGGUUUCCAGCUCAUCCGCCUUUCCUUUUACUUCGAUUUGGCCAUGAGGGUACUCGAAAUCAAAUUCCGAGCGGAUAGAAAAUUUUUUUUCCUUCUUUGGUGGUCGGAAGUGGCUCCAGCGCGGCGGCGGAUGGUGGGCGGCAGUCGGCUCCCUUCUCCAACGACUGGUUCUUCUUUUCCAACGGAAGGCUAGAGCUAGAGUUUGGCUUCAGUGUUAUACAAAAAAUUUAUACCCAUCUCGCGUUAAUCUGAACUAUUCAUCACGUUUGAUUUCGACCAUUCGAUCGCGUU
rnacentral:lncRNA from 1 species